GACGAACGCUGGCGGCGUGCCUAAUACAUGCAAGUCGAGCGGACAGACGGGAACUUUCUCCCUCUCCGUCAGGGGCCGACGGGUUGGUUACACGGUGGCAAACUUCCUUUAAAACUGGGGUAACCUCGGGAAAACGGGGCCUAUUACCGGAUACUAUUUCCCUCACCUGAGGGCAAUAUGAAAGGUCGGAUCUGGCUAUCCCUUACAGUUGGUCCCGCGGCGCAUUAGCUAGUUGGUAAGGUAACGGCUUACCAAGGCAACGAUGCGUAGCCGACCUGAGAGGGUGAUCGGCCACACUGGAACUGAGACACGGCCCAGACUCCUACGGGAGGCAGCAGUAGGGAAUCUUCCGCAAUGGACGAAAGUCUGACGGAGCAACGCCGCGUGAGUGAUGAAGGGUUUCGGAUCGUAAAACUCUGUUGUCAGGGAAGAACAAGUACCGGAGUAACUGCCGGUAUCUUGACGGUACCUGAUCAGAAAGCCACGGCUAACUACGUG
rnacentral:rRNA from 1 species